GGAAUUUGAUGAUGAUGAUGACUGCAUAGCCCUGGGAACACAGCAAAGUCCACCAAAUUAUACUUUAGAUGGUGUGGGGCCACCAACUGGAGCACAGUCAAAUCCCAGGAACCACAGACUUAAAGAAACUGACUCUCCUUCCCCUGGAAACCAUCAGCUGUCCAUAACUCCCCAGUUGGGGUGGAACUCAUGAGCUCUUGAAUGUGGACUGGCUUGAUCUUGUUCAGAUCUUGUGUGUUGGGAGCCAUACAGCUUGGCAUGAAC
rnacentral:lncRNA from 1 species